rnacentral:lncRNA from 1 species
GCUCGGCAAAACAGAAGAGACUGACCAAGGGCGUGUCCAUUUCUUUGCCCUCCUCCCCUCUUCUCCCUCACCAGGCCGACAUCGUUCCCUCCCAGUCGUGCAGCAAGUUCCCAGGACGGGUAAGGAGGCUGGAGUAUGUGGAUGGCUCUUCCAGCGCGAGAGAGCCACUCGUCUUUGCCUCAUGCCGUGGCAAGGCAGACCACAGAGACCUCCACGUGGAGCCACAGCCUGGCUCCUCCCUCUCUAACCAGGAACUAAUGACCAGA